rnacentral:lncRNA from 1 species
CGUAUACAUAUUCUAUUGAUUAAUUAAUUAUCGUCAUUAUCCAUUCACUGUUAAUAAACCACAAUUUGAAUUGUUGAGAGAUAAGCUUGAGUGAAGUCUCAAAAGUAAAGUCCAAAACAAUUGGACUCCAAAUCAACGCGAGUUUUUGGGUACGUGAGUUAGUGAGUUUCAAGCCUGGAGUCUUGUUAAAAUCUGAACCUUGUCGAUUUGACGACGAAUUCUAGUCGAUCUAAAUCGAGUGCUCCUGGAGUUCGAAGUCCCGAUUUAAUAAGAGUUUACAACAAUCCCUGUCCGAGUUUCCGAUUCUGAUUGGUUUUUAUGAAUGAGGUGAAGUUUGAAGUAAGUGUCCUAAGUAUCGUAGAAGCCAAGAAAAUGCCAUCUGAACAUGACCAACGAAUUGUGGUCAGUGCACUUUUGGACACUGUCAAGAAACCAAACGGAGAUUGUAUUGUUACCAUGGGUCCAGACCAACUACCCGGACAUGAACGUUGUGUUUCAGUGGUUGGAAGAUAACUUGCCUUUCGGGCGUAAGAAAAUGUAGCCCACCUACUCACCAGAUACCAACCCAUUGGACUUCAUUUUUUGGGUGCAUGGUGAGUCCAAUGCCUGCACCGUUUUCAUCCAAAUAUCAACAACCUCAAGGACGCAGUCAACCAGCUCUGGGAUCACAUGUCUGUAGACAACAUCUACAAUGGGUGUAAGGCUUUCCAUGGUCGUCUGGAAGUCAUCAUUACCACAAAGAGGAGCUACAUCGAUGAUUAGGGUAGCCAAUACAUCAUAUUAGUUAUUUUUA